rnacentral:rRNA from 1 species
UUGGAGACUAGAAUGAAUGGUUUAAUAAAUAUAAGUAUUUUGGUUUUUAGAUUAUAAAUUAAAGAUAAAGUAAGAAUGCUUUAAUUUAUUAAGGGACGAUAAGACCCUAAAAGCUUUAUAAUUAGUUUGUUAUUAGUGUUAUUAAUAUUAUUAAUUGACUGGGGCAGUUAUUUUAUGUAAAUUAAAAAUUUAUUUAAAGGUCCUUUAAAUAAAGAUUUUAUGAGUAAGUUACUUUAGGGAUAACAGUGUAAUAUAUUUGGGGAGACCAAAUCUAUAAAUAUGGUUACAACCUCGAUGUUGAAUUAGAAGUAUCUACGUAGGCAGAAUAUACGAAAGAAAGUUUGUUCAACUUUUAAAUUUCUACAUGAUCUGAGUUCAAACCGG